GACGAACGCUGGCGGCGUGCUUAACACAUGCAAGUCGAACGGAAAGGCCCUGCUUUUGCGGGGUGCUCGUGUGGCGAACGGGUGAGUAACACGUGUGUAACCUGCCCUUGACUUUGGGAUAACUUCAGGAAACUGGGGCUAAUACCGGAUAGGAGCUCCUGCUGCAUGGUGGGGGAUGGAAAGUUUCGGCGGUUGGGGAUGGACUCGCGGCUUAUCAGCUUGUUGGUGGGGUGGUGGCUUACCAAGGCUUUGACGGGUAGCCGGCCUGAGAGGGUGACCGGCCACAUGGGGACUGAGAUACGGCCCAGACUCCUACGGGAGGCAGCAGUGGGGAAGAUUGCACAAUGGGCGGAAGCCUGAUGCAGCAACGCCGCGUGCGGGAUGACGGCCUUCGGGUUGUAAACCGCUUUCGCCUGUGACGAAGCGUGAGUGACGGUAAUGGGUAAAGAAGCACCGGCUAACUACGUG
rnacentral:rRNA from 1 species